UGGCGGCGUGCCUAACACAUGCAAGUCUACUUGAACCUACCGCUUGCGGUAUUGGAUGGUGGCGAACGGGUGAGUAACGCGUAGACAACCUACCAUUUAGAGAGGGAUAAUUCNCUGAAAAGAGGACUUAAUACCUCAUGUGCUCUUAAAUUGGCAUCAAUUUGAGAGGAAAGACUACGGUCGUUAAAUGAUGGGUCUGCGUAUCAUUAGUUAGUUGGUAAGGUAACAGCUUACCAAGAUAUCGAUGAUUAGCUGGUCUGAGAGGAUGAUCAGCCACCCUGGGACUGAGAUACGGCCCAGACUCCUACGGGAGGCAGCAGUGAGGAAUAUUGCACAAUGGGGGCAACCCUGAUGCAGCAACGCCGCGUGAGUGAUGAAGGUUUUCGGAUCGUAAAGCUCUGUCAAGAGGGAAGAAACCUCAGAAAGCUAAUACCUUUCUGACUUGACGGUACCUCUAGAGGAAGCACCGGCUAACUCCGUGCCAGCAGCCGCGGUAAUAC
rnacentral:rRNA from 1 species